GUGCAGCAGGCCACUAUUUGAAUGUGUGUUGCUCCUUGUGGCAGGUAUACUGUUCCAAUGCCCUGGGAUCUCUGUAGUGGUCGGUACUGUAUUGAUUAUAAAUGGUGAAGUCCUAGUAUCUUGCUAGAGUGAGCUGGCCAGGAUGGUGGAGCUCUACCACCAUUUCACAGGUUAUAGACAGGGGCCCCCAGGUUUCAGGAAAGCAGCAAUGACCCCUCAGUAAUAGUUGGAAAGUGUGAUAUGACACUGAGCUUCACUGUGUUGGUGAAGAAGAGGUGAGGAAAAUAAAAGUUGCAGUUUGCCUCCACCUCUGAAGAAGCACAAUAUACCUUUCUGGGUUACCCAUGGGAUACUUCCCAACAGCUUUGUCAUCACAUACAAUAUUUGCAAACAAGAUCUUAAUGGCAUCCACUUUCUCCAGGAACACAGCCCCUGACAUGUGCGUGUUUGCGUAGAGAAGGCAUGCUAUGUACCCCCUAGGAUACCAAGAUUUCUGUAGCAGAUUGAGCUCUGGCAGUUGAUCUCAGUGGCUUGAUAGAGUGUCAUUAUAAAAACGCACCUGGAAGAU
rnacentral:lncRNA from 1 species